GAUGAACGCUAGCUACAGGCUUAACACAUGCAAGUCGAGGGGUAACGAGAGGGAAGCUUGCUUUCCUUGUCGACGACCGGCGCACGGGUGAGUAACGCGUAUCCAACCUGCCCACAACUAGAGAAUAACCUUGCGAAAGUAAGACUAAUGCUCUAUAAUUUCCUUAGAUGGCAUCUGACGAGGAAUAAAGAUUUAUCGGUUAUGGAUGGGGAUGCGUCUGAUUAGCUUGUUGGCGGGGUAACGGCCCACCAAGGCAACGAUCAGUAGGGGUUCUGAGAGGAAGGUCCCCCACAUUGGAACUGAGACACGGUCCAAACUCCUACGGGAGGCAGCAGUGAGGAAUAUUGGUCAAUGGGCGCAAGCCUGAACCAGCCAAGUAGCGUGCAGGAUGACGGCCCUAUGGGUUGUAAACUGCUUUUAUACAGGGAUAAAGUUAGUCACGUGUGGCUAUUUGCAGGUACUGUAUGAAUAAGGACCGGCUAAUUCCGUGCCAGCAGCCG
rnacentral:rRNA from 1 species